UACGUAGGGGGCAAGCGUUGUCCGGAUUUAUUGGGCGUAAAGAGCGUGUAGGCGGCCAGGUAGGUCGGUUGUGAAAACUGGAGGCUCAACCUCGAGACGUCGGCGGAAACCAUCUGGCUAGAGUCCGGAAGAGGAGAGUGGAAUUCCUGGUGUAGCGGUGAAAUGCGCAGAUAUCAGGAAGAACACCCGUGGCGAAGGCGGCUCUCUGGUACGUGACUGACGCUGAGACGCGAAAGCGUGGGGGAGCGAACAGG
rnacentral:rRNA from 1 species